rnacentral:rRNA from 1 species
AGAGUUUGAUCCUGGCUCAGGAUGAACGCUGGCGGCGCGCCUAACACAUGCAAGUCGAACGAGCGAGAGAGAGCUUGCUUUCUCGAGCGAGUGGCGAACGGGUGAGUAACGCGUGAAGAACCUGCCUUUCAGUGGGGGACAACAGUUGGAAACGACUGCUAAUACCGCAUGACGCUUCUUGGGGGCAUCCCCGGGAAGUCAAAGCUUUAUGUGCUGAAAGAUGGCUUCGCGUCUGAUUAGCUAGAUGGCGAGGUAACGGCCCACCAUGGCGACGAUCAGUAGCCGGUCUGAGAGGAUGAACGGCCACAUUGGGACUGAGAUACGGCCCAGACUCCUACGGGAGGCAGCAGUGGGGAAUAUUGGGCAAUGGGGGAAACCCUGACCCAGCAACGCCGCGUGAAGGAAGAAGGCCUUCGGGUUGUAAACUUCUUUUACCAGGGACGAAGGACGUGACGGUACCUGGAGAAAAAGCCACGGCUAACUACGUGCCAGCAGCCGCGGUAAUACGUAGGUGGCGAGCGUUAUCCGGAAUCAUUGGGCGUAAAGAGGGAGCAGGCGGCCGCAAGGGUCUGUGGUGAAAGACCGAAGCUAAACUUCGGUAAGCCAUGGAAACCGGGCGGCUAGAGUGCGGAAGAGGAUCGUGGAAUUCCAUGUGUAGCGGUGAAAUGCGUAGAUAUAUGGAGGAACACCAGUGGCGAAGGCGACGGUCUGGGCCGCAACUGACGCUCAUUCCCGAAAGCGUGGGGAGCAAAUAGGAUUAGAUACCCUAGUAGUCCACGCCGUAAACGAUGGUCACUAAGUGUCGGGGGUCAGACCCC